GACGAACGCUGGCGGCGUGCCUAAUACAUGCAAGUCGAACGAAGCUGUUUUAACUGGUGCUUGCACCGACUUAAACAACUGAGUGGCGAACGGGUGAGUAACACGUGGGUAACCUGCCCCAAAGCGGGGGAUAACAUUUGGAAACAGAUGCUAAUACCGCAUAACCACAGAAACCACAUGGUUUCUGUGUCAAAGAUGGUUUCGGCUAUCACUUUGGGAUGGACCCGCGGCGUAUUAGCUAGUUGGUAAGGUAAUGGCAUACCAAGGCAAUGAUACGUAGCCGAACUGAGAGGUUGACCGGCCACAUUGGGACUGAGACACGGCCCAAACUCCUACGGGAGGCAGCAGUAGGGAAUCUUCCACAAUGGACGAAAGUCUGAUGGAGCAACGCCGCGAGAGUGAAGAAGGUUUUCGUAUCGUAAAACUCUGUUGUAAGAGAAGAUCGUGUGCGAGAGUAACUUCUCGUGCAGUGACGGUAUCUGGCCAGCAAGCCACGGCUAACUGCGUGCCAGCAGCCGCCGUAA
rnacentral:rRNA from 1 species